rnacentral:rRNA from 1 species
AGCGAACGCUGGCGGCAGGCUUAACACAUGCAAGUCGAGCGCCCCGCAAGGGGAGUGGCAGACGGGUGAGUAACACGUGGGAACGUACCCUUUGGUUCGGAAUAACUUGGGGAAACUCAAGCUAAUGCCGGAUAAGCCCUUAUGGGGAAAGGUUUACUGCCGAAGGAUCGGCCCGCGUCUGAUUAGCUAGUUGGUGAGGUAACGGCUCACCAAGGCGACGAUCAGUAGCUGGUCUGAGAGGAUGAUCAGCCACACUGGGACUGAGACACGGCCCAGACUCCUACGGGAGGCAGCAGUGGGGAAUCUUGGACAAUGGGCGCAAGCCUGAUCCAGCCAUGCCGCGUGAGUGAAGAAGGUCUUCGGAUUGUAAAGCUCUUUUGCCAGGGACGAUAAUGACGGUACCUGGAGAAUAAGCCCCGGCAAACUUCGUGCCAGCAGCCGCCGUAA